UGCUGGAGUAUUUGGAUUAGUAGAAAUGAUAUCAUCUUCAAAGAGAUUAUCUCCACAGUUUAGUCUUGUUUGGGCCUCUUCAGAGUUGUUUUUACUGAGGUGAUUUAUAGAGCCAAGAACACACAAAAAAAUCUCAUGUCUCAAUGGCUAGACCAGAAUAUGUAAUCUUCCUAAUUUUCUUUCUUUCUUUUUUCAUUUCCUAAAUUUUUUUGGAUGUAACUUCACUUUCCUUUAU
rnacentral:lncRNA from 1 species